GCUACGGGUGGCAGCAGUGAGGAAUAUUGGUCAAUGGACGAGAGUCUGAACCAGCCAAGUAGCGUGAAGGAUGACUGCCCUAUGGGUUGUAAACUUCUUUUAUAUGGGAAUAAAAUGUUCCACGUGUGGGAUUUUGUAUGUACCAUAUGAAUAAGGAUAGGCUAACUCCGUGCCAGCAGCCGCGGGAAUACGGAGGAUCCGAGCGUUAUCCGGAUUGAUUGGGGUUAAAGGGAGCGUAGGUGGAUUGUUAAGUCAGUUGUGAUAGUUUGCGGCUAAACCGUAAAAUUGCAGUUGAAACUGGCAGUCUUGAGUACAGUAGAGGUGGGCGGAAUUCGUGGUGUAGCGGUGAAAUGCUUAGAUAUCACGAAGAACUCCGAUUGCGAAGGCAGUUCACUGGACUGCAACUGACACUGAGGCUCGAAAGUGUGGGUAUCAAACAGGAUUAGAUACCCUUGUAGUC
rnacentral:rRNA from 1 species